UACGUAGGGUGCAAGCGUUAAUCGGAAUUACUGGGCGUAAAGCGUGCGCAGGCGGUUCUAUAAGACAGAUGUGAAAAUCCCCGGGCUCAACCUGGGAACUGCAUUUGUGACUGUAGAGCUGGAGUACGGUAGAGGGGGAAUGGAAUUCCGCGUGUAGCAGUGAAAUGCGUAGAUAUGCGGAGGAACACCGAUGGCGAAGGCAAUCCCUGGACCUGUACUGACGCUCAUGCACGAAAGCGUGGGAGCAAACAGG
rnacentral:rRNA from 1 species